rnacentral:tRNA from 2 species
GGCGGCGUAGCCAAGUGGUAAGGCAGGAGUCUGCAAAACUCCUAUACGGCGGUUCGAUUCCGCCCGCCGCCU